rnacentral:misc_RNA from 1 species
GAUGAAGAACGUAGCGAAACGCGAUAGGUAAUGUGAAUUGCAGAAUUCAGUGAAUCAUCGAAUCUUUGAACGCACAUUGCGCCCGCUAGUAUUCUGGCGGGCAUGCCUGUCCGAGCGUCAUUUCAACCCUCAAGCCCCCGGGCUUGGUGUUGGGGAUCGGCGAGCCUCCGCGCCCGCCGUCCCCUAAAUCUAGUGGCGGUCUCGCUGUAGCUUCCUCUGCGUAGUAGCACACCUCGCACUGGGAAACAGCGCGGCCACGCCGUUAAACCCCCAACUUCUGAACGUUUGACCUCGGAUCAGGUAGGAAUACCCGCUGAACUUAAGCAUAUCAAUAAGCGGAGGA